rnacentral:piRNA from 1 species
UGCAUUCUAGAGAUGGCAUUAGGGCG